AGAGGAGGAGCUACUGAUUUCCAGCUGCAAGGUUGAAAUAAAACCAGCAAAAGUGCAAGCCAAGGGUUCAGUUUCCCAAUAGCUGCAGCUGUCUAGCACCCGGAGCUAUUUUUAAACUCCUUUUCAGAACUUCCAGUGCUUGCGAUGGAUCUAUUUUCUUAACUGCCAAGAGAUAAUGCUUAAAAGGGAUAGCUUGAAAAUAUUCCACGGCGCUCAUACAAAUGACUGAAAUAGAUAGUGUACAAGACGGCCUUUGUCUGGAGCAGCAGAGGAAAGCAAGAUGAAGUCUUUCAGACCCCAGGACCAUGGUGCUGCUGGAUCUGCUGCUGACAACCGUGGCUUUGUGUCUUGAAUGUGCACUGUGACCAGAAAAGGCAAGAAAACCAAACAGUAAUUGUAAAGAACAUCAGAGACCUGGCAUUUAAAUUGGUCAUUGAUUCCAGGAAACAGGAGACCCCAAAAUAGCUCCCAAAGAAUCCCCCUUGACUUGAAGAGUGCUGCCUUAUCUGCAACGUGGAUGGAGCUGGAGGCCAUUAUCCUAAGGAAACUAACACAACAACAGAAAACCAAAUACUGGAUAAGUGAGGGCUAAACAUUGAGUAUGCAUGGACACAAAGAAGGAAGUUAUUUGAAGAUGUGCUCCAGCAAAAUAAGAGGUAACCCGGGAUCCAUGAAAAAGUGUUUUCAACCCAAGAGUGUGACAAAGAGAAUUUCCAGGAUGACAGCCCUGGUUCAGGUCUGGAGAUCAACUGCCGUAUACGUACUUGAGAACAAGUAUGAAAGUGUCCCUGAGGGAGGUAUCCAGGGAACAAAUAAAGGGGAGAGCAUGGCAAAGUAUUUCUGAUAUGAUAACUGCCCAGGGAAGAAGAAGAAAAUAAGAAGAUGGCUUACUGCUGGAGCAUUUAAACACUUCAAAGAACACUAUUUAUGUAGCCAACAAUAGUGCUUUAACAAUAUUAAGAGGAUGAUGUGGAGAGGUGCAGAUGAUGGUGUAAGAAUUAAAUCUCAUAGGAAGGAAAAGUUUAAAAAUCACUAGGUAAUAUAUGAAAUUGUAAAUUAAAAAUCAGCAGCAUGUCUUUAUUCUGUUACUUUUAAUCGCAAUGAUAGUAAUAAUAAUAAAGUUGAAAAAUUAAAAAAUAUUUUUAAAAGUUCAUUUUAAACUAUGUAUCACUUUAAAUAUACAGUUCUAUUGUCCUCUGGCUUGCAUUGUUUUUAAAAGAAGUUUGGAAAAUUCUUAUACUUAUUCCUCUGUGUGUAAUAUAUUUUUUAUUGUGCUGCUUUUUAAUUUUUCUCUUUAUCAUUAAUUUUUAGUAAUUUAAUUAUGAUAGCUUUUGAGUAGUUUUCUUUAAGUUAAUCCUGCUUUGAUUUUGUUUAAGUUCUUAAAUUUUGGGGUUUAAGUUUUCAUUAAAUUUAGAACUUUUAAAAUG
rnacentral:lncRNA from 1 species